GAGUUUAUUAUUAUUAAAUUUUUUAUAAAAAAUAAAUUUAAUUAAUUUUAGUAAUUUGCAUGAAUAAAUUUUAUUAAUUAUAGUUGAGAAGUAUUGAAUAAGAAUUAUUAUUUUAAAAAAAAGAUUAUUUAAUUUGUUUUACCUUUUGUAUCAGGGUUUAUUUAAUAAAAUAUUUUAUGAAUUAAUUCUCGAAAAUAAAGGAUUUAUUUUUUUAAAAAUUUUUAUGUAAAAAAUUAAAUUUAAAUAAAAAAAUGGAAAUGAAAAGUUAAUCGGUUUUAUUGAUAUCUAGUUGUUUUAUAAAUUAAUUUAAUUUAUUAUUUAAAGGUAAUUUUUUAUUUAAAUAAUAAAUUGUUUUUAAGUAGUUAUAUUUAUGGAUAUUAUUUCGUAAAUGUUUUAAAUUUAAAAUUGAUAUUUAAUAUAAAAUAGAAUUAAAAUUGUUUAUUUUAUUUAGUUUUUUAUAAAUAAUUUUUUGGUUAGUUAUAUUUUUAUAAAUUAUUAAUUGGUUAUAAAAUUAAAUUUUUAAAUUUAAUGAAAUUUUUAAUAUUGAUAAAAUUAGUAUUUGUAGAUAUUUAUAUUAUUUAUAGGAACUUGGCAAAUUAAUUUUCCACCUGUUUAAUAAAAACAUGUCUUUAAGAAAAUAAUUUUAAGUCUAAUCUGCUCACUGAAUUUUAAAGAGCCGCAGUAUUUUGACUGUGCUAAGGUAGCAUAAUCAAUAGUUUUUUAAUUGAGAACUGGAAUGAAAGAUUUAAUGAGAAAAUGGCUUUCUUUAUUUAAUUAAAGAGAAUUUUAUUUUUAAUUUAAAAAGAUUAAAUUCUUAUAGGGGACGAGAAGACCCCGUAGAUUUUUAUUAAUUUUAAAAUUAAUUUAUUUAGGAUGUUUAAUAAUAAUUUUAAAAAUCAAUUUUGUUGGGGUGACAAAAAAAUAUAUUAAACUUUUUUAUUUAUAUUCUUAAUUUAAGAUUUAUUGAUCCAUUAUUUAUGAUUAUUAGGUUAAAUUACCUCGGGGAUAACAGCGUAAUUUUAUUAGAGAGUUCUUAUUAAUAAUAAAGUUUGCGACCUCGAUGUUGAAUUAAAAAAAGAUAUAGGAGCAGAAAUUUAUAUUUUUAGUCUGUUCGACUAUUAAAUUUUUACAUGAUUUGAGUUUAGACCGGCGUAAGCCAGGUCAGUUUCUAUCUUUAUAAUUUAUUAAAUGAUUUUAGUACGAAAGGAUUAAAUUAUUAAAAUAAUUUUUGAUUAUUGAUUAAUAUUAAUA
rnacentral:rRNA from 1 species